UAAGCGGAGGAAAAGAAACCAACAGGGAUUGCCUUAGUAACGGCGAGUGAAGCGGCAACAGCUCAAAUUUGAAAUCUGGCCUCUGGCCCGAGUUGUAAUUUGCAGAGGAUGUUUCUGGCGAGGUGCCUUCCGAGUUCCCUGGAACGGGACGCCAUAGAGGGUGAGAGCCCCGUACGGUUGGUCGCUAAGCCUCUGUGAAACUCCUUCGACGAGUCGAGUAGUUUGGGAAUGCUGCUCUAAAUGGGAGGUAUACGUCUUCUAAAGCUAAAUACCGGCUAGAGACCGAUAGCGCACAAGUAGAGUGAUCGAAAGAUGAAAAGCACUUUGAAAAGAGGGUUAAAUAGUACGUGAAAUUGUUGAAAGGGAAGCGCUUAUGACCAGACUUGGGCCGGUUGAUCAUCCAUCGUUCUCGGUGGUGCACUCUGCCGGUUCAGGCCAGCAUCAGUUUGGCUUGGGGGAUAAAGGCUUCGGGAAUGUGGCUCCCUCCGGGGAGUGUUAUAGCCCGUUGCGUAAUACCCUGGGCUGGACUGAGGUUCGCGCUCCGCAAGGAUGCUGGCGUAAUGGUCAUCAGUGACCCGUCUUGAAACACGGACCAAGGAGUCGUCUUCGUAUGCGAGUGUUCGGGUGUCAAACCCCUACGCGUAAUGAAAGUGAACGUAGGAGAGAGCUUCGGCGCAUCUCCGACCGAUCCUGAUGUUCUCGGAUGGAUUUGAGUAAGAGCAUACGGGGCCGGACCCGAAAGAAGGUGAACUAUGCCUGUAUAGGGUGAAGCCAGAGGAAACUCUGGUGGAGGCUCGCAGCGGUUCUGACGUGCAAAUCGAUCGUCAAAUAUGGGCAUGGGGGCGAAAGACUAAUCGAACCUUCUAGUAGCUGGUUUCCGCCGAAGUUUCCCUCAGGAUAGCAGUGUUGGAACUCAGUUUUAUGAAGGUAAAGCGAAUGAUUAGGGACCCGGGGGCGCUAUAUAGCCUUCAUCCAUUCUCAAACUUUAAAUAUGUAAGAAG
rnacentral:rRNA from 1 species